rnacentral:rRNA from 1 species
UACGUAGGGUGCGAGCGUUGUCCGGAAUUACUGGGCGUAAAGAGCUCGUAGGUGGUUUGUCGCGUUGUUCGUGAAAACUCACAGCUCAACUGUGGGCGUGCGGGCGAUACGGGCAGACUUGAGUACUGCAGGGGAGACUGGAAUUCCUGGUGUAGCGGUGGAAUGCGCAGAUAUCAGGAGGAACACCGGUGGCGAAGGCGGUUCUCUGGGCAUUACCUGACGCUGAGGAGCGAAAGUGUGGGGAGCGAACAGG